rnacentral:antisense_RNA from 1 species
CAAACAGGCCUUAAACAGGGUGAUGUGGCCCAUUCCAGCCAGGUGCCUCCUCUAAACCUAUAGUCAACUUGAAAAGCCUGAGGUGCUUUUCCAGAGCACUGCCUGAAGUUUGCCGUUCACAGCCAGGGAGACCUGUGAGGAGGACUGAUCCCACAGCUCCCUCUCUAAAGAGUAGGGUUUCUUGAUGAUACCAGGAUGAGUACACAGCCAUGGGGCUCAGGGACUGCCCCUGCCUCCGCCCCAUCCAUGCUCCAACGGGACAGACACAUGCCACUGCAACUAGAGAUCCCCGGCAAUCCCAUUCCGUAAGGACACCUGAAAACCUCAGCACCAGCCCUGCAAUCUCACUCCGUAAGGACACCUGAAAACCUCACCACCAGUCCCACCCUAGGAGACGGAUAUUCCCCCUCUAACCUCCAGGGUGGAGAAGCAGGGUUCAAACCUGGGGCCUGAGAGAGGUGCUUCCAAAAGAAAGCGCCUUGUAAGCCAGGCUAAGGAAUGGAACUUUCUGCUCUGGGCAAUGGCGGAGCAGGGGGACAUCUAGUGCCCCACCUCACCCUGUGCCUGGCAUACUCAUGCUUGCUCAACAAAUCCCAAUACCACCAGAGUACCCCAAACUCCAGGAGCAAGUGGACUUGAUGAGUCCCCACACUCCCAGAGGCUUCUCAUCCCACCCUGAGAGAGAAGUAUCUCAGAGUACGCUACAGUGUUCAUGCUUUUCCUUCAAGAACCAAUGAUCCAGGGGCAUUCCCUGCAAGAUACUAUCUUCUGGCCUCAUUUCAAGAACCCCAGCCAUCCUCGCUCACAAACUAGCCUGAGACCCCUACUCCAACCCUCUCUUUAAAAUUAGUUCUAGGCGCAUGAAGCUCCUGGAAAACUGAAUAAAAACAAAUGCUCAGAGGGAAAUGUGGGACUCCUGCCAGGUCAGCCAACCCCUCCUGACUGAUUUACAAGGCUGCAAAAUGGUACUUUGUUCUGCAAAUACCCUCCCCUCCUUGCCCCGCCCUAAUAUUCAGGCCUUGGCGUGCAGCAGCUUGGGGGCCACAUGCAGAACCGCAUGUGCAGACGACUU